UAUGUGAUCGUCUCUCGCAUAUCAAUAAGCGGAGGAAAAGAAACUAACAAGGAUUCCCCCAGUAACGGCGAGUGAAGCGGGAAGAGCUCAAAUUUGAAAUCUUAAAGGGUUUCCCUUUACGAAUUGUAGUUUAAAGAAGUGUUUUCUGUUGAGGUUUUGGUAGAAGUUCUUUGGAAUAGGACAUCAUAGAGGGUGAGAAUCCCGUAUUUGACCUUUACUUUCAACUUUGUGAUACACUUUCAAAGAGUCGGAUUGUUUGGGAAUGCAGUCCAAAAUGGGUGGUAAAUUUCAUCUAAAGCUAAAUAUUGGCGAGAGACCGAUAGCGAACAAGUACCGUGAGGGAAAGAUGAAAAGAACUUUGAAAAGAGAGUUAAACAGUACGUGAAAUUGCCAAAAGGGAAGCGUUUGACACCAGUGUUGUUUUUCUGAAAAUCAAUUAAAGAACUGUUUAUGCUAAGUUGUUUAGACUUUAUCAGCUAUCUGUUUAGUUUUGAGCUUUUCUUUAAUGCACUUUUCAGUUAACAAGUCAACAUCAAUUUCUUUUGCUGUAAAAAAGCUUGAGGAAGGUGGCUUGAGAUUCGUCUUAAGUGUUUAUAGCCUCUUGCCUAUGCAGUCGGAGAGAUUGAGGUCUGCAGCGUAGAUCCUUCGGGGCUAAAUGCACUUUGUGCUAAGUUAUAGGCAUUUUAUAGACAACUUGUUGACUAUGAUUUGUCUUGUAGCUUACUCGCUUAUGUUAUUUUACCUACGCUUAGGAUGUUGAUCUACAGAGCGAGAGU
rnacentral:rRNA from 1 species